rnacentral:rRNA from 2 species
UGGACUUGCUCCUGAANUACGGCGGANGGGUGAGUACACGUGGGCACCUGCCUAUAAGACUGGGAUAACUUCGGGAAACCGGAGCUAAUACCGGAUACGUUCUUUUCUCGCAUGAGAGAAGAUGGAAAGACGGUUUACGCUGUCACUUAUAGAUGGGCCCGCGGCGCAUUAGCUAGUUGGUGAGGUAAUGGCUCACCAAGGCGACGAUGCGUAGCCGACCUGAGAGGGUGAUCGGCCACACUGGGACUGAGACACGGCCCAGACUCCUACGGGAGGCAGCAGUAGGGAAUCUUCCGCAAUGGACGAAAGUCUGACGGAGCAACGCCGCGUGAACGAAGAAGGCCUUCGGGUCGUAAAGUUCUGUUGUUAGGGAAGAACAAGUACCAGAGUAACUGCUGGUACCUUGACGGUACCUAACCAGAAAGCCA